CGCGGCCUAUCAGCUUGUUGGUGAGGUAACGGCUCACCAAGGCAUCGACGGGUAGCUGGUCUGAGAGGACGAUCAGCCACACUGGGACUGAGACACGGCCCAGACUCCUACGGGAGGCAGCAGGAGGGAAUAUUGCGCAAUGGGCGAAAGCCUGACGCAGCGACGCCGCGUGGGGGAAGAAGGCCUUCGGGUCGUAAACCCCUUUCAGCAGGGACGAAAUUGACGGUACCUGCAGAAGAAGCGCCGGCCAACUACGUGCCAGCAGCCGCGGUAAUACGUAGGGCGCAAGCGUUGUCCGGAAUUAUUGGGCGUAAAGGGCUCGUAGGCGGUUCGGUAAGUCAGAUGUGAAAGGUUGGGGCUCAACCCUAAGACUGCAUUUGAUACUGCCGUGACUAGAGUCCGGUAGAGGAGUGUGGAAUUCCUGGUGUAGCGGUGAAAUGCGCAGAUAUCAGGAGGAACACCGACGGCGAAGGCAGCACUCUGGGCCGGUACUGACGCUGAGGAGCGAAAGCGUGGGUAGCAAACAGGAUUAGAUACCCUGGUAGUCCACGCCGUAAACGUUGGGCACUAGGUGUGGGGCCUUCUAACGGGUUCCGUACCGUAGCUAACGCAUUAAGUGCCCCGCCUGGGGAGUACGG
rnacentral:rRNA from 1 species